AUUGAACGCUGGCGGCAGGCCUAACACAUGCAAGUCGAGAGAGCGGCGGACGGGUGAGUAAUGUCUGGGAAAAUGCAUGAUGGAGGGGGAUAAAUACUGGAAACGGUAGCUAAUACCGCAUACCAUCAGAUGUGCCCAGCUGGGAUUAGCUAGUAGGUGGGGUAACGGCUCACCUCGGCGACGAUCCCUAGCUGGUCUGAGAGGAUGACCAGCCACCCUGGACCUGAGACACGGUCCAGCCUCCUACGGGCGGCAGCAGUGGGGAAUAUUGCACAAUGGGCGCAAGCCUGAUGCAGCCAUGCCGCGUGUGUGAAGAAGGCCUUCGGGUUGUAAAGCACUUGCAGCGGGGAGGCGUUACCCGCAGAAGAAGCACCGGCUAACUCCGUGCCAGCCGCCGCGGUAAUUC
rnacentral:rRNA from 1 species